rnacentral:rRNA from 1 species
AUUGAACGCUGGCGGCAGGCCUAACACAUGCAAGUCGAACGGUAGCACAGAGAGCUUGCUCUCGGGUGACGAGUGGCGGACGGGUGAGUAAUGUCUGGGAAACUGCCCGAUGGAGGGGGAUAACUACUGGAAACGGUAGCUAAUACCGCAUAACGUCGCAAGACCAAAGUGGGGGACCUUCGGGCCUCACACCAUCGGAUGUGCCCAGAUGGGAUUAGCUAGUAGGUGGGGUAAUGGCUCACCUAGGCGACGAUCCCUAGCUGGUCUGAGAGGAUGCACAGCCACACUGGAACUGAGACACGGUCCAGACUCCUACGGGAGGCAGCAGUGGGGAAUAUUGCACAAUGGGCGCAAGCCUGAUGCAGCCAUGCCGCGUGUAUGAAGAAGGCCUUCGGGUUGUAAAGUACUUUCAGCGGGGAGGAAGGCGGUGAAGUUAAUAACUUCACCGAUUGACGUUACCCGCAGAAGAAGCACCGGCUAACUCCGUGCCAGCCGCCGCAGUAA